UAGAACUGCCAUUGAUACUGUUGUUCUUGAGUACAUUUGUAGUGGGCGGAAUGUGUCAUGUAGCGGUGAAAUGCUUAGAGAUGACACAGAACACCAAUCGCGAAGGCAGCUCACUAAACUGUAACUGACGCUCAGGCACGAAAGCGUGGGGAUCAAACAGGAUUAGAUACCCUGGUAGUCCACGCUGUAAACGAUGAUCACUCGAUGUUGGCGAUACACUGUCAGCGUCUAAGCGAAAGCAUUAAGUGAUCCACCUGGGGAGUACGGCCGCAAGGUUGAAACUCAAAGGAAUUGACGGGGGCCCGCACAAGCGGAGGAGCAUGUGGUUUAAUUCGAUGAUACGCGAGGAACCUUACCUGGGCUAGAACGCAAGACGAUUUCCCGUGAAAGCGGGAUUCCCUUCGGGGCGGCUUGCGAGGUGCUGCAUGGUUGUCGUCAGCUCGUGCCGUGAGGUGUCGGGUUAAGUCCCAUAACGAGCGCAACCCCUAUCAUUAGUUGCCAUCAGGUCAUGCUGGGGACUCUAGUGAAACUGCCUACGCAAGUAGAGAGGAAGGUGGGGAUGACGUCAAAUCAGCACGGCCCUUACGUCCAGGGCUACACACGUGCUACAAUGGUCGGUACAAUGGGUCGCUACCUGGUGACAGGAUGCCAAUCUCAAAAACCGAUCUCAGUUCGGAUCGAAGUCUGCAACUCGACUUCGUGAAGUUGGAUUCGCUAGUAAUCGUACAUCAGCAAUGGUACGGUGAAUACGUUCCCGGGCCUUGUACACACCGCCCGUCAAGCCAUGGAAGCUGGGGG
rnacentral:rRNA from 1 species